rnacentral:rRNA from 1 species
GAUGAACGCUGGCGGCGUGCCUAAUACAUGCAAGUCGAGCGAACAGACGAGGAGCUUGCUCCUCUGACGUUAGCGGCGGACGGGUGAGUAACACGUGGAUAACCUACCUAUAAGACUGGGAUAACUUCGGGAAACCGGAGCUAAUACCGGAUAAUAUAUUGAACCGCAUGGUUCAAUAGUGAAAGACGGUUUUGCUGUCACUUAUAGAUGGAUCUGCGCCGCAUUAGCUAGUUGGUAAGGUAACGGCUUACCAAGGCAACGAUGCGUAGCCGACCUGAGAGGGUGAUCGGCCACACUGGAACUGAGACACGGUCCAGGCUCCUACGGGAGGCAGCAGUAGGGAAUCGUCCGCAAUGGGCGAAAGCCUGACGGAGCAACGCCGCGUGAGUGAUGAAGGUCUUCGGAUCGUAAAACUCUGUUAUUAGGGAAGAACAAAUGUGUAAGUAACUAUGCACGUCUUGACGGUACCUAAUCAGAAAGCCACGGCUAACUACGUG